GGGGAGUAAUGUAAAGGAAGAACAAGAGACAGAUCUAUCCACAAGUUCCCAUGUUCGUUGAAUCUGGUUUUAUUUACUGUUGAUUUUGACAAAGACAUGGUUCUUUCUAGGACUCAGUACAAUCAAGUAUGAAUGAGUUGUGCCACCCCCUUUUGGCAUGGGUGGUUUAGUGGUUAGACUUCGGACUCUCAACCAUAAGGUCGUGGGUUUGAAUCCCAUCAGGGGCCCAAUAUUGUGUCCUUGGGAAAGGCGAUUUCCACAAAUUUUCCUCACUUUACCCGAAUUUUUCUUACUCCAUCCAGAUGGAAAUGGGUACCCAGAUACGGAAAACGAAAGAUCUUGAUAGUUUGUUAAUGUUUGAUCACUUGAUCUGCAGCUUGCUCUGUAUGAUUCCGGGGGAAGCCUAAAACGUUUCUGAGUAUUCUAGAGUCUGCUGGGGUAAUAAUAGUUGUAAAGUGCAUAGAACAUGCUGAGAGCGUGGCUAUGUGCUAGAUAAAUGCAAUUAUUAUUAGAACACUGUAAAAUUAUUUACAAGAAAAGAUCUCCCAGUUCGACCUAUCUCUCCGAAAGGACUGAGCCAAAUUAGGUGGAGAAACUUAAAAACUUUGCAGACAGAUCAAGCAUGCCCAACUGGAGAUUUGAACCCAGGAUCAUCUGCCUGGUAGCUGAGUAUGAAACCUGUUCAAAUGAGGACAGGCACUCAAGGGCUUGCGGUUUUCUCUUAUCUGACAGAAAAACUAAAUCGGUGUGGGCAGAGUUAUUAACGACACUAGCUGUGUCACCGAACAAUGGAAAUUACGUUAUGUACAUAAACAGCCAAAACACCUCCGUUGCAGGCCCUCCAAGUAAUGUAUUGUUUUGUCUGCAAGGUGUGCGAAAUCAUUAAUGCAUAUAUAAUUUAUUUUAUAGGUAUGCAUUGAUAUAAUGUCUACAAUGUAUGCAUGUUUUUCUAAGAAAUAAAACUAUUGAAUAGGUGAACACUUAGAUAAAUUCAUUAAAUCACUAGUCAUUAAUGUGCUGUACUAGACGAACGAUAAACAGCAAGAUUGUGUUGCAUUCUAGAUCUAUUUACAUCUCAGCUUUCUACUUUUCUUUCGAGCUAAUGACCAGUCUGUGCCUUGUGUCAUAGGUGUCACAGCCAAAACUUUGGGUUUGUGACAGAUGUAGCUCAGAUGAAAAAGAAAAGAAUUUCAUUAGCCAAGGUUUGAACUUUAAAAUAUGUCAAGAUUUAGACAUGGCUCAAUUCUCCUAAUUAUUUUCUCUUCAUGAAUAUUUGGGUGUGGAAGUUGUGGGGGAGGGGGGGAGGGAGAAGGGAGUUAAUGGUUAGUAUUCUUAGCCUUUUAACAGACUUUUUGUUUUUAUUUCUCUUAAGUCUUUAAAGUUUUUGCCAUAUGUUGCUGCUGUGUAUUCUUCUAUGUAUUGUGUUAUAAUCAUUCAUACUAUUUUUGGGUGUUUUUGAUAAUGUGAUUGUAAGAAAUCCUGCUUGUAACCAAAUUAAUCAAUGUCAUUAUGAUUAUAUCAUGCUGUGUAUAUGCAUUACGCCGUUUUGUUUUAGAAGCACAUUUGCAUGUGUACAAGUAAGAAUGAAUUCCCCCCCCCCCCAAGCUCUACACAUGUAUUUGUGCAAAUUGUUUGUAUCUUAUGAUGCUUACAAGCUGUUUUCUCUUCAAAGUCAUCUUCAUUUGAGAAAUUUCUCACAGUUUCAUGUAACCAGCAUAUGUCUAUGACCUGUAACUUCAUGUGUUAGUCUGCUGUCUGUUUUUCAGAAUGCCAGUUACUCUCAUGUUUUAUUGUUUGUAGUCUUCAUCCUGUCUUGAUUCUAUAAGAUUGUCAUAAUAUUUUUUUUUCUCAUAAUCUUUUUAUCUCAAAUAAUAGUCAUUACAAAAUUCCCAAGCAGUGACUGAU